rnacentral:tRNA from 1 species
CGUUUAUACCCAAGUGGUUUAAGGGAAUGGCUAAACAGUCAUAGGGCAAAAAUAUUUGCCGCGAGGGUUCGACUCCCUCUAAUCGCGCCA